CAGCUGUGCCACGCCAAGAAACCACUCAGGGCUGCAGCAGAUGGGAACUUUGAAAUGCCCAUGGGUUUAAAGAAAGACAACAAAAACGUCUUCAAUGCUGUUCAUCAAGGCGGCAGCCUCUUCCCUUGGAGACCACCAUGAAUGAGGGCAAGGGGGCAGUCGGUAGGGAGAUCUCUCCUCACUUGCACUACUGUCACGCCGCACAACAGCACUUACUCAACCCCAGCCUCCAGACCACAGGCCCAGCACUGAUCGGGGGCGCGUUCAGCCGCUGAGCCUGAGAUUUUUGUCUUAGCCCACUAGGAAAUGGACUAGAACACCUCCACCCCAUAUCACACCCGACUGGAUGGCGAUCAGAUGGCAUUGCCUACAGGCUGGCAAAGGAGACCUGGAUCGGCAGCACCUGCACAACUUACCAGAUGGCCACAGGCACAUAUUGUACACAAACUUGUCUCGCUCCUUCAUGCUGUCUAAUCCCCUGGAUGAAACAUAAAUGAAUAGUCAUAAUUCCCACUUUAUCACCAUCCGUACAAAAUGAAUCAUGUACUCUGUGCAUAUCAGGUGACUUUUCCCUAUUUAACACCCACUUCUUAAUAAACACAAGAAUGAAAAUAGUACCUCAAGUUUAGUGGUGGGUAUUGUACCAUGCUGUAAUUAAGGCAGGAUGGUCGCUUAAUUAGUUGGGGGUAAGAAAUGACCGGGUGUCUUUAAUGAUUAAAGUCAGAAAAGCUAUGCACGCAACAGGUGAGCCUUAAGGUUGUCCUAGAUAAAGCUGUGAUAGAAAGGCCCAGAGAAGGGUUAUAUUAUUCAUUUCACCUGGCUGUUUCGUUAGAAGAGAA